UUGCAUCUGACCAUUCCAUACUUUUCGGUUAUUUGAAUCGUUAAAGCACAAAGGCAAGAAACUCUUUAAAAGGGGGGGUUUUAGAAGCCCUAAAAAUCACAGAUUACAAAUUCUCAACAACUGCGAUCGACGAGAGGCAUUUUUUUCAAAGGUUCGCAUCGACAGAGCGAUACCAACGAUGACAGUAUUCUGCUCCCCCUCCAUGUAAUAGAGGCUUGAUUCCACUUGCAUCUAUACUGUUUCUUCUGCCACCUACUCAAGGAUUAUGGGAUAGCCCUUGACGAGUUAUCUGAGUUCUCCUGAUGGAUUGUGAUGGCCUACUUUAUCGAUUGUUGUCGAUGCGAUGAGAUGCCACUGCUCGCUGUUUUUCAACGUCUAUACCAAUUGAAGGCCCACAAUCGAAGGAAGUCAUCAGGCACAACUCGCAAUACUGAAGAUAGUUUGGAGGAGUCUACUAGCUUGUCACGGGAAAUCGACGAAUAUGUGGACGUGCGAGCUUCUAUGUUGGAUACACGCAAGAAGCGCAGAACUAACAUUGGGGAUGUUAAUGUUGUGCUAAGUAGCGAGGAGGAGAAGAUAGUGAAAUAUUAGAACAGUGCCGAAAAAAGAGGACAAACCGCUCUGGACCUUUUGUUAUUGUUGUUGUCACUCCCAUUUCCCCUGUUGCGAGCUCACUUUCUGCUGCUCAUGUAAGCUUACCUGUUGUUCCUGCUAACUCACCCCUUGUCGAUCCUUUUUCUUAUCCCCCAACUACGAAGGGGACUUUAAAUGAAGGAGUUUUUAGCACUAUCGUUGAGCAUGGUGUAGCUGCUGCACCUAUAAAAUUUGUUACAAUAGGUGGUGAGAUUGGAAAACUGUUCCCUUAGCACGAGCAUAUGAGCAUGAUGGAAUUCCCUUAUAGUCCCAACGAUGCCACCAACCACCUGAAGAUUUGUGUGCCAGAAGUAGCUAAAGAGCGUAUGAGUUCGGUUGGUUUGUCUAGUGGUGUGAAGAAGCCUUUUCUGCAAGAAUUAGCUCUAUCCCUACAAGUUCUUUUGGCUAAGGCUAGCAUGGUUGGUUUGGGUCUCAAGGAAGGUAUAAGCGAAGUUGAAGUCAACAAGAGGGAGCUCGAUGAUUCUUACCAGAAUGUUAUGCGAGCUUUAAAGAGAGCUUGCGAGCUCCAUUCCAAACUAAAUGAAGAAAACCAAGACAUGUAGGGGAAGAAUAAGGACUUGGCUAAACGUCUGGUGAUCGUUGAGGGCAAGGUAAUGAAAUUAUCCAAGGAGGUCGCGGCUGAAAGAACAGAAAAAUAAAGCGUGGAUGCUACUAUGAAGAAGAUGGUUGAAGAACAUAAGGUCACUAUGAGCAAAAUGGCUAAAGAGUAGAAGGCUACAAUGGUGAGUUUAGUACAGAGGCAUAUUGAAGCUUUGAAAGAUUUUAAGAAUGAAACUCUUCAAAAUUUUAACAACUUCCUGCCUGAGCUGAAGGCCAAUAUAUUGCCGCAUACGCAAGUUGCUAGUGGCCCUUUUAAUGCACGCAGAGUUGAUCUUGAUGCUCUCUGUGACGUUGCCAAUGAUCAAAUGGAAUUUGAUGUCCGCUUCCCUUUUGGAGCUGAAUGGGAAGAGUUCACAUCCAAAUGGAGGAAUUGUAAAGAUUUUUAAUUAGGCAAAGAUCUAAGUGAAACUAGUGUUGCUACUGCCAACAAA